AUAUAACCAAUCAAAUCAACCGAAUAGAAAUUAGACUAUAAUCAGUAUUAGUAUAAACUGACUCAGAAAAGAAUAAUUAUGUCCAGUUCUCACCUGUUUUUUAGUUCUUUCUUUUUCAGCUUGAACAAUAUCAUGACCUUUGUGUUCAUCCAUCAUGCACGAGUAACAGAUGAGGCUUUGGAAUCACACUCCACAUCUCCAGGUCCAGCGUAACAGUGAGCAGGAGAAACAGCUUGGGGUGCAGCUUCCUUCAGGAGCUUCACCUUCUCAGCCAGCAUGUUGUUCCUGCGCAGAACAGACGGUGAAGAGAAAGUCUCUCUACACUGGGGACAGCUGUAGACGCCCUUCACGUCCUCCUGAUUCCAGAAGCCAUUAAUACACACCUUACAGAAACUGCGGCCACAGGGAAUAGUUACAGGAUCCUCCAGGAGAUCCAGACACACCGGACAGGUGAAGAGAUUUACUGAAAUAUUGGCCAUUUUCCUGCACUCGGACACUGCGGGAGAGACUGAGUUUUCCACGUUUCGCUUUCUCUAAAAUGAGCGUCCAGGUGUUCCGGAAAGUUCACGUCCCCCUUUUCAACUUCAGUACGCAUGCGCGAAAUCAUACAUGCUCGCGCGUAACGGGGCGGGGCUACAUGUGUCGCUCCGCCCAUAACCGGUCUCAUUGGAUAGAAGCAAUGUAAAGAUAAAGACGGCGACCGCUCAGCAUGUUCUCGUCAGAGCUCGUGAGGACUCUGGUUCUGAUUGGACUCUAUACACUGUCGCUUCCGCUUUUAGUCUCAUUGGCUAGUACAACUUUUCGACGCUGCACUGGAAGUGUUUUUUGCCUAACGUUUCAAUGGGCGCUGUCAGCAUGGGUUUUUACGCUCACUGCUGCAAGAUCUUCCACAGAUUAUUGUGAUUAUGAUGAAGUUGGCGUCUGUCAUUCCCUUUAUACCUGAGAGUGGUAGAAGAUGAGUUCCCAGCCGUAUCAGUGAGCAGGACUGAACCCUGCACAAACACCGGGGAUCCAAAACCAAGCAGACCACCACAGGUCUCACACACACACGUACAAAAAAACAUCUGAGUUUACACCCAGUUUCAUUUAUUUAUAUCACAGAAUCACCGUGAAUCACUUCUAAUAAAUUAGUAAUUGAGUGAUAAUCAAUUAUAUUUUAUAAAUAUAAUAAUAAUUAUAUUUUUUAAUUAUGUAUUUGUAAAGUUUUUUUUUUAUAGUAAAACACUACAACGAGCCAUGAAGGUGAAGAUAAAAUGCUGCAUUCCACUUGAGGUUGCAACUUGUAAUUUCCAACCUCCAACCAGUAAAAGUC